UACGGAGGGGGCUAGCGUUGUUCGGAAUUACUGGGCGUAAAGCGCGUGUAGGCUGCUUCGCAAGUCGGAUGUGAAAGCCCUGGGCUCAACCUAGGAAGUGCACUCGAAACUGCGAAGCUUGAGUCCUGGAGAGGAAAGCGGAAUUCUCGGUGUAGAGGUGAAAUUCGUAGAUAUCGAGAGGAACACCGGUGGCGAAGGCGGCUUUCUGGACAGUGACUGACGCUGAGACGCGAAAGCGUGGGGAGCGAACAGG
rnacentral:rRNA from 1 species